rnacentral:rRNA from 1 species
UACAGAGGGUGCGAGCGUUGUCCGGAAUCACUGGGCGUAAAGGGCGCGUAGGUGGUGGCUUAAGCGUGCGGUGAAAGCUCGGAGCUCAACUCCGAGUCGGCCGUGCGAACUGGGCUCACUGGAGCAUAGUAGAGGCAGGUGGAAUUCCGGGUGUAGCGGUGGAAUGCGUAGAGAUCCGGAAGAACACCGGUGGCGAAGGCGGCCUGCUGGGCUAUGGCUGACACUGAGGCACGAAAGCGUGGGUAGCAAACAGG